UCUUAUCUUAUAUAUAAAAUUCUCGUGUCACAAAGUUAGUCUCCAAACUCCUCCGAAACGGCUCGACCGAUUCCUCUGAAAUUUGGUAAGCAUAUUGAGUAGGUCUGAGAAUCGGCUAACAUCUAUUUUUCACACCCCUAAAUAAUAAGGGUGGUCCACCCCUCAAAUUUUUUUUUUCAUUUUUUCGACAAAAUUUUUUUUAUUUAUUUUUUUAUGAUACGAUAUUCAAAAAUACAUACAACCCUAAGUUUUUGCCCUUCUAUCACCAACCCCUAUUUUUUAUUAAUCAUUUUAGUAAUUUAAUUAAUUUUUAAAAUUUUCCGCGCUUUUACUCUGGAUACUCAUUGGCCAGACUAUAUCGGUGUAACUACCCAGUGAACAACGCGGAGUGGGGAUGAGACCGAAGCCGGUCUCCUGUUUCGCGGGCAAAAGCUAGAUGUUUUCAAUAAACAUUAAUGUCAAAUAUUUGUUGUCCAUCCUGUCAAAUACUGUAAAUAAUGAUUGACAUUUAUGUAUAAACUAUUUGAAAAGGGUGAAUAAACAAUUGUCUGUAUUUUUUUUAAAUCUAUUGAAAAUGUUGAAAAGUGCAUUAAGCAUUAAAAGAAAUUCCUCAAAUAUUUAUGCGUGCGUUCAGAAAUAAUGACAAAUUAUCAACAGUUACGCGUGUGUUCAGAAAUUUAUUUUGUGUAAAUUAAAGUUUCUUUUCACGUUUUCGAACAAACGAUGCUCUUUCAAUAUAGUCUAUUGGUGUGAAUGACAUUGACAUUCGUAUUGCGCGUUUUUUAAAAUAUGCAAAAUUAAAUGUAUAUUUUUCAAUAUUUCUGAAAGAUUAUUUUAAUAUUUUUUCGAGUUUUAAAGACUAAGAAGAUUUUUACUUGCUAAUAAGUGUUUGUUAAUCAAGGUAAGUUCACAUCUUCAUAUUAAUUUUUAGUAAUUUUGGUGACACACAAUACUACAAUUUGGUAUACAUGGUUAUGCAGAAAAUGUAUGAGAGCUUUUUAUUUUCAGUUGGGAUUUCGUUUUUAACAAUGCUACCAACCAGACGUACAAGCUUAGGCCGCAGAACUCGAAAUACGGCAAGUCAAAGCAAUAUAAGAGCAAAUCAAACUGAUGAGCAACGCGAAGCGCGAAAUGAACUUGAACUGAAUCGAUAUCAAGAUAGAAAUGUUGUGUUUAAUCCCCACAAAGCUGCAUUCAGUUAUAAUGUGGCAAUUGAUUACAGUUCAGAGCAAAUUGUUGCUAUUGGACUAAUGAACAUUGUGUGUCCACAUUGGGAUUGAAAUUCAAAAAUGAAGCCUCUGGAUUGUGUUACGCCAGCGGCCAAGUCAAAUUGACGCCAUUGGUACCGCCACCAGAGCCACUACAUUCAUUGGUUAAUUUUUUGACUCAUAUCUAGCAGUACAAUAAUUGCUUUCAAAUGACAUCAUUUGGGGCAACAAAAGUUAUACGAGACAAUUUUAUGCCUACUUUUAGUAAAUUCAGGGAUUCAAAUAUAUCAUCAAACAGGUUCCUUAUUGCCAGUGCCUGUUGAAGACUAUACAUUUUUGCAAAUAUAUUUUAUGGACAAUUCAGCAAGAGAAGUCGAUCAGCGUUGCGCACACAACAACUCAGUAAAAAGAUCCAUUGUGAUGAACAACUUCAAACAUUUUUCCAUCAAAUCAACACAAUGAAUUAGUUGCAUUAAUCACAAAUGCAUUAGACCGCAUGCCAUCAGAUAAUCACAAAAUUGUCAUCAGAGCCGAUAAGGCGCCUGCAGGAUAAAAUGCUGGACAUUUUAAUGUGCCAACAAUUAAUAAAGAGCGCGCGUGGUAUUUAACUCAGUGUUUACUUAAAAAUGCCAAGUUCUUCAAUAGCGAUUUGUAAAAAUAGUAUUGAAAUUAUUGAAUCCUAUGGAAUAAACACUAUUAUGAAAA